UGGGGAAUUUUGGACAAUGGGGGAAACCCUGAUCCAGCAAUGCCGCGUGAGUGAAGAAGGCCUUCGGGUUGUAAAGCUCUUUUGUCAGGGAAGAAACGGCAGGUGUUAAUACCAUCUGUUAAUGACGGUACCUGAAGAAUAAGCACCGGCUAACUACGUGCCAGCAGCCGCGGUAAUACGUAGGGUGCGAGCGUGAAUCGGAAUUACUGGGCGUAAAGGGUGCGCAGGCGGUUGUACAAGACGGAUGUGAAAUCCCCGGGCUUAACCUGGGAAUGGCAUACGUGACUGUACGGCUAGAGUGUGUUAGAGGGGGGUAGAAUUCCACGUGUAGCAGUGAAAUGCGUAGAUAUGUGGAGGAAUACCGAUGGCGAAGGCAGCCCCCUGGGAUAACACUGACGCUCAUGCACGAAAGCGUGGGGAGCAAACA
rnacentral:rRNA from 1 species